GCCCAAAGUAGCUUAAUAAAAGCGCCAGUCUUGUAAACUGGCGAUGAGUCUUCAACCCUCCUUGGGC
rnacentral:tRNA from 1 species